rnacentral:rRNA from 1 species
CGCGAAACCUCCGCAAUGCGGGAAACCGCGACGGGGGGACCCCCAGUGCCGUGGCAUCGCCACGGCUUUUCCGGAGUGUAAGGAGCUCCGGGAAUAAGGGCUGGGCAAGGCCGGUGGCAGCCGCCGCGGUAAUACCGGCGGCCCGAGUGGUGGCCACUAUUAUUGGGCCUAAAGCGUCCGUAGCCGGGCCCGUAAGUCCCUGGCGAAAUCUCACGGCUCAACCGUGGGGCUCGCUGGGGAUACUGCGGGCCUUGGGACCGGGAGAGGCGGAGGGUACCCCUGGGGUAGGGGUGAAAUCCUAUAAUCCCAGGGGGACCGCCAGUGGCGAAGGCGCUCCGCUGGAACGGGUCCGACGGUGAGGGACGAAGGCCAGGGGAGCAAACCGGAUUAGAUACCCGGGUAGUCCUGGCUGUAAAGGAUGCGGGCUAGGUGUCGGGUGAGCUUCGGGCUCGCCCGGUGCCGGAGGGAAGCCGUUAAGCCCGCCGCCUGGGGAGUACGGCCGCAAGGCUGAAACUUAAGGGAAUUGGCGGGGGAGCACCACAAGGGGUGGGGCGUGCGGUUUAAUUGGAUUCAACGCCGGGAACCUCACCGGGGGCGACGGCAGGAUGAAGGCCAGGCUGAAGGUCUUGCCGGACACGCCGAGAGGAGGUGCAUGGCCGCCGUCAGCUCGUACCGUGAGGCGUCCACUUAAGUGUGGUAACGAGCGAGACCCGUGCCCCCAGUUGCCAGUCCUCCCCGUUGGGGAGGAGGCACUCUGGGGGGACCGCCGGCGAUAAGCCGGAGGAAGGAGCGGGCGACGGUAGGUCAGUAUGCCCCGAAACCCCCGGGCUACACGCGCGCUACAAUGGGCGGGACAAUGGGAUCCGACCCCGAAAGGGGAAGGAAAUCCCCUAAACCCGCCCUCAGUUCGGAUUGCGGGCUGCAACUCGCCCGCAUGAAGCUGGAAUCCCUAGUACCCGCGUGUCAUCAUCGCGCGGCGAAUAC